AGGCUCAGAUUUGAAUACCACAUGUGCCAAGGUAAAAACAUUGUGGAGGAAUACAAGCCAGUGAGCAAACCAGAUUAGGCAGAAACUAUGUGAUGAAGACAGAAAAGAAAUUAAGGUCUGAGCCAGAAUGAAGGAUCUCUGAACCUUGGGGCUGUUUCCACCUGAAUCUCUAGGCUGAGAAGGGUCUCUGUAACCAUUGCCGUACCGCAGGACAGAGAUCAACCUUUUAACCUUGGGUUCACGGGGGAGUGAUUUAUAGUGGCAUUGGCACUGCUGGAGACACGUCCGCUCAGGAGCUGGACUCUGCUUUCAGGCCCUCCGUCCACAGGAAAAAGCGUGCUCUGUUCCUCCGCUGGAUGUUAUCUGUGCCUGGGCUGUGUAUUCGUAGCAAGCUCCAGCGAGUGAUUUAUUUCCUACUGACUGUCAAAGAGGAAGGAUUAUAUCAAGACGCUGAUUGCUGAACUGUCCUGAUUGCUUCAUUACCGGCAUUUUGGAGAGGAAGCCUGGGUACUGGUAGCCUCAGGAUUGACAGUCUCUAAACAUGCUGAAAAGGACAGGGGAGAGAGGGAUUUUCUUGGCAGCGUGAUAGGAAUUGGGCAGUUCCUCUGACAACAAACUACUGUUGAAGGAAAACUGAAAAUGGUUGUAAUUGAAGAGGUUGCCUAGAGAAGCUGUGGAAUCUGUCGCUGAAGGUUUUCGGGACCUGACUGGGCAAAGUCAUAAGAAACCUCACCAGGAGGCUGUUUAGGUGCCUCCCAAGGCCCCUUCCAGCCUCAGUGGUUCUGUGAUUUCACAAACCUUGAACCUCGGCAAUGUGAUGGCAAUGUGCUUUCGAAAACUUGGUUUAAAAAUACAGCACUGGGGAUGAUAAUGCCAGGUCAAGAUUGGCAGUAUGUCAAAUGCUUUAGGUGAGAUGGGAUAUUUAUUUGCAACCUCCACACCAUGAUGAAAGGAGCUCGUUUUUGAUGGCAGUGCUGUACAUCUGUCAAAGAAAUCCCACCGCAUUGUUUACUGUGAGUAGAUAGCGCAUGUGUACAUUGCAGUACACCUCUACAAUACGUAUUCAUAAAGAAUGCUCUUAGUAGAGUAAUGUUCGUUUAGGCAUUAUCUGAACUCAUAGCAAUGUGAUAAGCUCUGUGACGCUGUGGAUCUCCUCCUCUCCAUCCCUCCAGCAGAGCCUGCAGGCUGCCACAGAAAUGGGCAGGAAAUUUUCUCAAUGGGCAAAGUUCUGCUUUUUUGAGAAGAAUUGUGUCUCUGUUUGUCAGGAUUCAAUUUAUCAAAAGCUGUAGUAGACACUAAAUGGCAUGGUGGCUAUUUACUAGGUAGCAUGCAGAGGGAGAUAGUAAAAGCUAUGCACACAAAAUGAGAAGGCUGUUGUGCAAACCAGAGCACAGCUGCAUAUCUACCAAGUGUAAAUGCUGAGGUUAGUGGUUUGGCUCAGUGGACCUUUAGAUUUGAGCUACCAUCUUCUUUCCAGAGUGAUGUUUGACUGUCCACCAGGAAUAAGUAGUGUGGAGGAAAACCUCAUGUUUCUCUGUGCCCAUGUUCCCAUUGCAAGGUAUCCUACUGGCUUCUUGGCUCUGGCCUCUUUGGAAAGGUGCCGUCUUUCUAGCGGUGGCUGCCACUUGCUAGUGAUUGCUACUGGAACGGUUGCUCUCCAAGCACCCCUGCAACCAAGAUUUCAUUUUCAUGCAUGUUCCUGCCAUGCCUGCCUACAAUUAAAGCUGAGCAGCCGGUUAGAGCAUCAGCAAAAGUCUGUGAAUGCCAGUGCUGCAAUAUUCAGUUGCCUGCAUGAAAUAAAACAGUCAUUUUGAAUACGUGAAUCUUCUCCUGUGGUUUACUUGACACAAUGUCAGUAUUAGCUCAGUUCUGCUGUUGUCACCUUCUAAUGUGAUUCUGUGCCUUGUGAAAUUAUGCA